CUACGGGGGGCACCAGUGGGGAAUCUUGCGCAAUGGGGGAAACCCUGACGCAGCAACGCCGCGUGGGUGAUGAAGGUCUUCGGGUCGUAAAGCCCUGUCAGGUGGGAAGAAAUGUAUCGGCGCUAAUAACACCGAUACUUGACGGUACCACCGGAGGAAGCACCGGCUAACUCCGUGCCAGCAGCCGCGGUAAUACGGAGGGUGCAAGCGUUGUUCGGAAUUAUUGGGCGUAAAGCGCGUGUAGGCGGUUGGGUAAGUCAGAUGUGAAAGCCUUUCGCUUAACGGAAGAAGUGCAUUUGAAACUACUCAGCUGGAGUACGGGAGAGGAGAGGGGAAUUCCCGGUGUAGAGGUGAUAUUCGUAGAUAUCGGGAGGAACACCAGUGGCGAAGGCGGCUCUCUGGCCCGAUACUGACGCUGAAACGCGAAAGCGUGGGGAGCAAACAGGAUUAGAUACCCCAGUAGUC
rnacentral:rRNA from 1 species